GCCAGCGGAUUUCGUUACGCGGGCAUUUUGCUGUACCACGGGCAGAAAUAUUGCCGUGAAGUGCCUUCGUAACUUGAAUUUUUCGUUAAAUGGGGUCUUCGUUAGCUGGGGUUCGACUGUAUUUAUAUUUCUUGCAGCCUGUUAACACUGUACCUCCUGCAAAAAUAUCUGCUGGAGUUUAUGCUGCACUAAAACCUCUAUGACAUAGUUGCACUCACUGCUAAAAGGAAAGCCAGAGGAGCAGACACAUCCCAGCAAAACACUGAUGCAGUUUUUACACAUUAAAUGGAAGUGAUAUAAGAUACAGUCCUGAUUAAAAGGUUUAAGACCACUUGAAAACUGGCAAAAAUCAUAUUUUGCAGGGUUGGAUCUUAACAAAUGUUGUUACUAAGAAAAUUUUUUAUUCUCAAAUGCAGACAUUUCAAAGCUAAAUGACAUGAUUUUGAAAAUGAGAAGUGAUAUUAAGUAUAUUCAUUGUUAAUCACAGAAUCAUAAUUCAUAUAUGAUUUUAUUGAUAGUUAAUUAUGUUUAACUGCUCAGCACUGAUCAGAAUAUAACCAGGAAUAAGUUUAACCUGUGUGAUAGAUCAGAAAAUGUAAUAUAGACGGGCUUCACACAGAGUCUGUCCUUAGUGUGUGUGCGUGUGUGUGUGUGUGUGGCAGCUCCAAUUAUAGAGCCAGCAUUCCUCACUAGUUUGUCUCCUCUCAUUUCUAAAACAUGUAUCAAACAGACAAAUAUGCAACAAUAAGAAAAAACCUUCUUCCCAGCACUAUACACCCACUCUCCUGUUGGCAUAUUUCUGCUGUUUCCUGUUCACCAGUGGAUCAAUGGAUUCAUGUAAAUGUUGAAAUAUGAAUCAUGGCCAUGAGAAUAAUCUAAAUGUACAUCCACCACAUGGUCAAAUAUUACUGAACUGGUGGUCCAAAUCUCCACAGGAUGCCUUUAAGCAGUCAGGAUCUGUCUGUGGAAUAGUUUCAAGGAUCAUUUGUUUUGGAUCACCUGGAGAGUUUCCCUCCUUUCUCCUGCAGGGGUUUCCUCUCUAUCAGCAGUGCUUCCAUCUGUGCAGCCCGUCCAGUUUUCCCACCAGAGGAGACAUUUCAGGGAACCUGAGCCCUGCUGCAAUGUUCAUUUAAAGAGAAGAGGCUUCCUCCUGGUAACCCUUCCAAACAAGUCACACUUCUCAGUCUCUUUCUAUUUGUACUCUCAUGAACUUUAACAUUUAACAUGAGGCCUGUAGAGUCUGAGAAUGAGAAUUCUUGGGUUUUUGCAGCUUUUCUGAGCGUUUGGAUGGUCUUAGGUUGAAUUUGCUGGAACAUCCACUCCUGAGAUGAUUGUAGCAUUGUGUUAACACACAACUGAAUGCUGCAGACCAGCAAACUGCAAAAACGUCUGCAUUUGCAAAGGUUCUCACACCUGCUGUUGGAUACACCCAUCAAAUACAACUGAUUUUAAUUCCUAUGGAAACAUUAAGGACAAACUCCGUUUCAGUGGUUCACAUAAUGAAUUAAAAACAGUAACUGGUAGCAGAGGCGGGAUUGUUGGAGUUUGACACAUCAAAAGUGAAUAAACAGAUUUUUAUACCUGCGUCUGUUCUGCUGUGUCAGACUACGACCCACAAAGUGGAGACCUACGUCUUUCAUAUGUUCCGGCACUACGGCUUCAGCUGGAUGAGAAAGAGCGUCGACUACUUCCUGCUGCAGUCCAACUCAAAGUACAUCACCUGGUGGUCGAUGGCCCUCAGCCUCCUCAUCGUCACCUCUGGGUACCUGCGGCUACUCUUCCUCAAAAGCCUCUUUGUCAGCAAUACCGGCACAGAGGGCGAGAAGCCUCGGUGCUGAUAGACUCAAACGAAAACCAAAAGAAAAAGAAUUUAAAAAAUAAAAAUGUCUGGAUUUGUGUGGAGGAACGGCAGACACGAACGAAUUCAAAGCAGUGAUGGUUCUUUCUCCUUGAAUGAAUAAAUAUUAGAAA